rnacentral:lncRNA from 1 species
CUUGGGCCACAAGGAGAGGAAAAGAGUAGGUAUAAUUUUUGCAGUAUUCUUUCUCCUAGGGCAAACUUAACUAGAGUGCUGUACUUUGGUGAGAUCUCUGCAGAGAUUUGGAUGUGAUGGGUGGGAUGUGCCCCAGUACAACAUCAGUCUGUUACCCACUGAUGAAAGUGCUCUCCUGGCUGCUGGGAAUCUUCAAAGAGCAACAGAAUAUUGUUCUGCUGCACAAGUGCUCUGACCAUCGAGCACGUGAAUAACAAUUACCAUUACAAAAUAAAUGGCCCUGGUAACCUGGCUCCUCCCAAGGACUGGUGAUUCUACAUGCUCCCUCUUCUUUUUCUGUCUGAGAAGGAAAUGGCUGCCCAACACUCAUCCUCAGCACUUUGAUCCCUCUUCAGAAAGGCAGUUUGUCUUCCUGCAGUUCAUUCAGGAUCGCUUUAAAGCCAAUUAUGUUUGCCUUACAUGGUGAUACAUGAUAAUUAAUGGGAUUGGGUAGAGAUGGUUAAGAGCUCUUUAUAGCUACAGUACCUGGAAUAUAUUGUAUUAUAAAGCUUUGUUAUAAAGCUAUAGUAGGUAUGAGGCUCUUAUCCAGUGUUCCUGAGUUUUGUGUUACACCAUUACAUUUUAAGCUCAUUGCACUUAAAGAAAGCGAUAUAUCCAAUUUUAUUAAUCAAAGGGCAGCAAAGAUGGCCAAAAACCUCAGUCAUUAGACAUUCAGGAUUAACUGAAGGACAGUUGUGUGCUUCGUGUAUCUGAGAUGAUAAAAUCUUGUAACAGGAUCUAAAGUAUGGAUUUGUCUUGUUGUAUUCUCCUCCCACCCUCAAUAUUUUAAUCUUUUUAAAUCUUUUUGCAUGUCUUCUGUGUUUUACUUCUAAUCCCUAGAAAUGAAACUAGAUCAGCUGGUGUUUCAUAUAUGGUUAAACUGGUAGAGACAAAUGAGCAAAUACAUAAUAGUUUGGGCUCAAAGGUACUACAAUAAUCUUUUGAGUUUCAAAUAUAGUUAAUAGAAUAGCUCACAGUAUCUUCACCUCAGGAGGAUGAAAUGGGGGAAGAUUGUAAUCCUCAUGAUUCAUCCAGUGACCAUCCAGAAUGACCAAGGUUUCUGUCUUUGUUAUCCCGUACUAUUUGUCAUCAGUUAAAAUGGAGUGUUAUCCAGGAAAUAUCUGAGAACUGUGUUAGAGUGAUAAAAUUAUUUUAAAUUUCUCCAUCGACUUGUGUUAUUGAAAUGCAUUUUUUAUGCUUUGAAUGCAGCAAAUUGAAAGAGUAACCACAGUUUAUUAAAACAUGAUGGUUUGCUGAACGUUCUGUAUAAAUUUAUGAAUGACCUCUGUCAAAGUGGAGAGUGCCUGUUAAUAAUUUUGUGCUUUAAAACAAAGCAAACAAAUAAACAUUUAAAGAACAUUACA